AAAACAAAGCAGAGAUUUGUGCUGACCCUGCAUCACAAUCAUUGCCAGAUUUCCUGUAAAACCUCAGGAAGAGGAAACAAAAUAUGAAUGUGAUGUGAAAAAACUUGUAGCACUUCAAAAACCAUGGCAAUAAAGCUGCAGAACAUUGUCUCCAACACAGCAAGAAGGCAUUCAGAAGGAGAGACAGACCGGAAAACUAAAUACGUUACAGAAGAUUUCCUUGUGAAAAUCUGGGUUACAUCUGAAGAGCUCUCCCCAGGAGAAGGAACACUUUGGCCGGCUGGAUGCUCUCUGCCUUCUUCAGCACUGCCAUGAGAAGCCCAGAUCUGGAAGAGAACAUCUGUUCUUUGGUAUUAUUCCCAAACCCAGCUGUACAUUGUGUCCAGAGGCUUGUCGGGUUAUCUUAAUGAAGACAGAUUUCUCUAAAGUGUCACUGAGGCGAUUCUGGAAAAGGAAAAAACAACAUCGAGAGCUUUUAUCCACACAAAUGGCUAACACGGGUUGGACUCCAGAUAGGGAUAAAGAUCAUUUGGAUGUUUGCUUAACAUUUUUCUCCCUGUGUAAAUAAAAUGCACUAUAAACCA